GACGAACGCUGGCGGCGUGCUUAACACAUGCAAGUCGAACGGAAAGGCCCUGCUUGCCGGGUACUCGAGUGGCGAACGGGUGAGUAACACGUGGGUGAUCUGCCCUGCACUUCGGGAUAAGCCUGGGAAACUGGGUCUAAUACCGGAUAGGAGCCAUUUUUAGUGUGAUGGUUGGAAAGUUUUUUCGGUGUAGGAUGAGCUCGCGGCCUAUCAGCUUGUUGGUGGGGUAAUGGCCUACCAAGGCGGCGACGGGUAGCCGGCCUGAGAGGGUGGACGGCCACAUUGGGACUGAGAUACGGCCCAGACUCCUACGGGAGGCAGCAGGGGGGAAGAUUGCACAAUGGGCGCAAGCCUGAUGCAGCGACGCCGCGGGGGGGAUGACGGCCUUCGGGUUGUAAACGCCUUUCGCUAGGGACGAAGCUUUUUGUGACGGUACCUAGAUAAGAAGCACCGGCUAACUACGUG
rnacentral:rRNA from 1 species